rnacentral:rRNA from 1 species
UACGGGAGGGGGCGAGCGUUGUUUCGGAAUUAUUGGGCGUAAAGGGUGCGUAGGCGGUUUGGUAAGUCUUGUGUGAAAUCUCCAGGCUCAACUUGGAGUCUGCACGAGAAACUGCCGGGCUGGAGUAUGGGAGAGGUGAGUGGAAUUCCCGGUGUAGCGGUGAAAUGCGUAGAUAUCGAGAGGAACACCAGUGGCGAAGGCGAGUCCCUGGACACUUCCUGACACUGAGGCACGAAAGCUAGGGGAGCAAACAGG